rnacentral:hammerhead_ribozyme from 1 species
AGCUAGCUAACGAGUCUUAAAUAGGACGAAGCGUGUGCCCUAGAU